GACGAACGCUGGCGGCGUGCUUAACACAUGCAAGUCGAACGGAAAGGCCCUGCUUUUGUGGGGUGCUCGAGUGGCGAACGGGUGAGUAACACGUGAGUAACCUGCCCUUGACUUUGGGAUAACUUCAGGAAACUGGGGCUAAUACCGGAUAGGAGCUCCUGCUGCAUGGUGGGGGUUGGAAAGUUUCGGCGGUUGGGGAUGGACUCGCGGCUUAUCAGCUUGUUGGUGGGGUAGUGGCUUACCAAGGCUUUGACGGGUAGCCGGCCUGAGAGGGUGACCGGCCACCUUGGGACUGAGGUACGGCCCAGACUCCUACGGGAGGCAGCAGUGGGGAAUAUUGCACAAUGGGCGGAAGCCUGAUGCAGCAACGCCGCGUGCGGGAUGACGGCCUUCGGGUUGUAAACCGCUUUCGCCUGUGACGAAGCGUGAGUGACGGUAAUGGGUAAAGAAGCACCGGCUAACUACGUG
rnacentral:rRNA from 1 species